rnacentral:rRNA from 1 species
UCUGGCUCAGGACGAACGCUGGCGGCGUGCCUAACACAUGCAAGUCGAACGGAACUUUUUCAGAAGAUUCUUUCGGGAUGAUUUUGGUUAAGUUUAGUGGCGGACGGGUGAGUAACGCGUGAGUAACCUGCCAUUGAGAGGGGAAUAACAAUCUGAAAAGAUUGCUAAUACCGCAUAACAUAUGUUUGUCGCAUGGCAGAUAUAUCAAAGAUUUUAUCGCUCAAAGAUGGACUCGCGUCCGAUUAGUUAGUUGGUGAGGUAACGGCUCACCAAGACCGCGAUCGGUAGCCGGACUGAGAGGUUGAACGGCCACAUUGGGACUGAGACACGGCCCAGACUCCUACGGGAGGCAGCAGUGGGGGAUAUUGCGCAAUGGGGGCAACCCUGACGCAGCAACGCCGCGUGAAGGAUGAAGGUUUUCGGAUUGUAAACUUCUUUUAUUAAGGACGAAAUUUGACGGUACUUAAUGAAUAAGCUCCGGCUAACUACGUGCCAGCAGCCGCGGUAAUACGUAGGGAGCAAGCGUUGUCCGGAUUUACUGGGUGUAAAGGGUGCGUAGGCGGCUUUGCAAGUCAGAUGUGAAAUCUAUGGGCUCAACCCAUAAACUGCAUUUGAAACUGUAGAGCUUGAGUGAAGUAGAGGCAGGCGGAAUUCCCCGUGUAGCGGUGAAAUGCGUAGAGAUGGGGAGGAACACCAGUGGCGAAGGCGGCCUGCAGGGCUUUAACUGACGCUGAGGCACGAAAGCGUGGGUAGCAAACAGGAUUAGAUACCCUGGUAGUCCACGCUGUAAACGAUGAUUACUAGGUGUGGGGGGUCUGACCCCUUCCGUGCCGGAGUUAACACAAUAAGUAAUCCACCUGGGGAGUACGGCCGCAAGGUUGCAACUCAAAUGAAUUGACGGA